AGUGGAGACCAGGUGCUAUAAGGAGAUAAUCCAAAUGGAAUCAGGUGUUAAUGAAUGAAGACCAUUCUUCAUCUUGCUCCAGUGGCCCAGCAGGGACCGAGCAGGGGGCGACUAAUGGUCUAACCUCGCUGGAUCGCAGGACUCCGAAGAACGGGUAGAGGAAGGCAGGCACCAGGGCUGCAGCUCCAAGAGGCACCGCCUCGGACACCCAGUACACAGCAGUCACGAUCAACACAAGAACGCUGAGGCGCUGCACCAGCACCGCGCUCCCUCCACCGGCCUCCCCUCUGACCUCCCCCCUGACCCCCUGGCCCCAGGAGGGGACCGGCUGGUACUCACGCUGCUGGGGUGGAGCAUGGGCAGAGGCAGCAGCAGGAGAGGCACGAAGACGACGAGCAGCAGCUUCCUGGCUCGGAGGAGGCCCUUCAGCAAGCCCAUCCUGGACCUCCUCGCCUCGGAGCUCGCGCCAGCCAAGUGCCUGCGCUGCUGGCGACGCCCGCCUCCCUCCAGAAACACUCCUUCAACCUUUCUCGGCUUCCAAGAGUCCUCUUUCGUCUUAAGAGCAGAACAGGAGGGCAGGUAGAACCCCUGUUGGCAACAAAGGCCGGCCUCCUCGCCUUCGGUUUUAGGUGGGAUUGGUGAGCAUAGUUUUAUGCCCAGCAAAAAGGAAGCGGGAAAGGAUGAUAAACGGGGGCAUAAUGGCUCUCUCUUUGCUUGAUCAGUAAUGGAGUAACUUCAUUCUAAAGCUCAGCAAAAGCCCCCUUAAUCAAUCAAGAUUACACCUCUGCUGCAGCUGUCUGGUUGCCGUCUGUUGUGCACUCCAUCAUUUUUCCUCUCUCUGAUGGCCUGUUUUGGGCAGUACCACUUUCGCUUUCUACCUGUGCUGGCUGUACCCCCUUUCCUUAAAAAAAUCUAGUCCCCCCACUUCCCUUAAAACAAACCCCCGAGUUUGUCAGCAGACCAUGGAGACUUCAAAUAGGGCUGGUCUCUUCUCCCAGGACCUGGCACCUUAACUCUGUUCAAAUUGCUUUCCUUCUAAUUGGUUUCCCAUUAUAAUUUGCCUUGAGCCUGGGCCUCCAAAGCAGAAAAAAAAAGUGCCCAAGACAUUCCUUUUUGUCACGGGACAAACUCUUGCUGGAGGCCCACCUUAACUUUCCUUCACCUAUGGGACGCAGGACGGAGGCAGUAGCCACGCCCAUUCCUGACAGCCAAUCAGCACGUUGGAAAGAAUGAGUCAGUAUCUCUUCCAAAGGCAGUUCGGGAUUGGUCCCAGCAGGGGCCUGCUGAUUCUGCAGAACCUAAGCAAUUUGCAAAGCUUAUUUUUGUUUCUCAAACAUCCUAGGGGCUGGAGUGAUGACCAUCACCGUAAACAUAAUCCCACUUCCUCAAGCACUGCUUUAACGCUGCAAAGCA